rnacentral:lncRNA from 1 species
AUGUAUUAUAAUAUAUAAUAUAUUAUAUUUAUAUAAUUUAGUUUUAAUUUAUUUUAUAAUUUUAAUUAAGUUUGAAAUUAAGCAUGGGAAUAACACUAUUCCACCAAAAUGGUGGAAUAGUAAAAAGCUUGCUAUUCCGGAAUAACCGGGAAUAGCAAGCUUUGACCGGAAUAAAAUAUUCCAGUAAAAAUUGAUCUCGUUUGGCGGAAUAGCGGGGAUAACUUUCGUUAUCCCCGCUUAUCCGUUAUCCCCGCUUAUCCCCCGAACCAAACGGGGCCUUAGAAGUUAUAUAAAUCUCAAGAGCAACACUAUUUAUUCAUCUAAAAGUGAGUAUAAAUUUCACAUCCUGCUUUAUAAAAAGUACUUUUUUUUUU